CAAUAGCGUAUAUUAAAGUUGUUGCGGUAAAAAAGCUCGUAGUUGGAUUUCUACCGAAGAUAGCCGGUCGGGUCUUCGACCUUGUAUCUGGUUUUGUCUUUGGUAUCCUCAUAGGGAACGUUUCUGCGCUUUAUUGCGUGGUGCGGUAUCUAUGACUUUUACUUUGAGGAAAUUAGAGUGUUCACGGCAGGCAAACGCCUUGAAUAUAUUAGCAUGGAAUAAUAACAUAGGAUCUUCGUCCUAUUUUGUUGGUUUCUAGGGCUAAGAUAAUGAUUAAUAGGGAUAAUUGGGGGCAUCUGUAUCAACGCGUCAGAGGUGGAAUUCUUGGAUUGCGUUGCGACAAACUACUGCGAAGGCAUUUGCCAAGGAUGUUUUCAUUGA
rnacentral:rRNA from 1 species